rnacentral:lncRNA from 1 species
CCUCGUCGGUGGAGGAAACCAAAAGUGGAGUAGGUCAAGACUGACCGAACCACUCUAAAUCUCUGGUUUGCUUUUAUUUUGAGCACUUUAUCAUUACUGCAAACCUCCUACAUAGCUACUGCUCUCUGUGCUUUUACGAACAAGUUUCUAAGUUCUGAUCUUUCCGAAUUUGCAUUCAGACGUAAAUCGGUGUUUUCGUACGAUCUUUACAUUGCAGUUUACAUUUACGUUUUGAUUCUAUUUAUAACUGCAAACUGUCUUCUGCGCUUUUACGAACGAGUUUCUUUGC